UACGUAGGGCGCAAGCGUUGUCCGGAAUUAUUGGGCGUAAAGAGCUCGUAGGCGGCUUGUCACGUCGGAUGUGAAAGCCCGGGGCUUAACUCCGGGUCUGCAUUCGAUACGGGCUGGCUAGAGUGUGGUAGGGGAGAUCGGAAUUCCUGGUGUAGCGGUGAAAUGCGCAGAUAUCAGGAGGAACACCGGUGGCGAAGGCGGCUCACUGGCCCGGAACUGACGCUGAGGUGCGAAAGCGUGGGGAGCAAACAGG
rnacentral:rRNA from 1 species